UACGUAGGGAGCAAGCGUUGUUCGGAUUUACUGGGCGUAAAGGGCGCGUAGGCGGCCUUCUCAGUCGGGUGUGAAAGCCCGGGGCUCAACCCCGGAACGGCACCCGAGACGGGAAGGCUGGAGACCGGGAGAGGAGGGUGGAAUAGCCAGUGUAGAGGUGAAAUUCGUAGAUAUUGGCUGGAACACCGGUGGCGAAGGCGACUCUUUGGCCUGUAACUGACACUGAGGCGCGAAAGCGUGGGGAGCAAACAGG
rnacentral:rRNA from 1 species